AUCCAGCUGACAAGUCCCGAAUAGGACGAAAUGCGCGUCAAACUGGAU
rnacentral:hammerhead_ribozyme from 1 species